rnacentral:rRNA from 1 species
AUUGAACGCUGGCGGCAUGCUUUACACAUGCAAGUCGAACGGCAGCGCGGGCUUCGGCCUGGCGGCGAGUGGCGAACGGGUGAGUAAUACAUCGGAACGUGCCCAGUAGUGGGGGAUAGCUCGGCGAAAGCCGGAUUAAUACCGCAUACGACCUGAGGGUGAAAGCGGGGGAUCUUCGGACCUCGCGCUAUUGGAGCGGCCGAUGGCAGAUUAGCUAGUUGGUGGGGUAAAGGCCUACCAAGGCGACGAUCUGUAGCUGGUCUGAGAGGACGACCAGCCACCCUGGAACUGAGACACGGCCCAGACUCCUACGGGAGGCAGCAGUGGGGAAUUUUGGACAAUGGGCGAAAGCCUGAUCCAGCAAUGCCGCGUGUGUGAUGAAGGCCUUCGGGUUGUAAAGCACUUUUGGCGGGAACGAAAAGGACUGUGCCAAUACCACGGUUCGAUGACGGUACCCGCAGAAUAAGCACCGGCUAACUACGUG